AACGAAUAGGUCGCCGAGUUCCACCAGAAAACACCAGAGUUACGGACGUAGAUUUUGCUGCGCGCACCGUACGAACGCAAAUGGAGACAAUCAAAGUGUACAUUGACACAACGAAGAACCGUUCUUUCGCGUCUACUUAGCUUUCCUUUGCUACAUUAUUUUAUUUGUGUACGAGACACUUUCGGCCAAUAAACGAACCUGCAUUUCUUACGCUAGUCCUCUUACCAGCAUCGCGAUAUGUUGUCGGUUGUGAAUAAAUUGGAAACGUUUAUGCAAAAUAGAACCUACGCGGAGAUAUCUUUCGGAUAUCAUAAGCUGUAUAUUGUGGACGUCCUAUCCGUUUCUACGCAUCGUCAAAUUUCUCGCAGAAUAUCCAGUAAUAAUAUUUCAGGACGCUGCUUCAAAGGGUUAAUCUCCACUUUCGACUAUUCUUAUUUCUAAUGUAAUUUCCUCCUCUGAUCGACACGCGAUGUACCAACCCUGCCGUUGCUUUAUCUGCUCGCGAUUUAAUUAGAGGAAAUAAUUGGAGAACUGGCGUAAACGCAUCGACGCAGGAUAACUCAUCCACCGGCGAAUGUCAAUUAUCGCAGAUUAUCAUUAUUACGCGGCAAUAACGAAAUGUAGCAAUUUACCCGCUAAUACUUGGCAAUUUAUCUACCCCGCGCUCGAGGCAUUCCUAAUUGCCG
rnacentral:misc_RNA from 1 species